UUACGGUACCGUCAGUAAGCUACACGUAGCUCUUUUUCUUCCCGUAUAAAAGCAGUUUACUACCCAUAGGGCAUUCUUCCUGCACGCGGCAUGGCUGGAUCAGAGUCUCCUCCAUUGUCCAAUAUUCCUCACUGCUGCCUCCCGUAGGAGUCUGGUCCGUGUCUCAGUACCAGUGUGGGGGAUCCCCCUCUCAGGGCCCCUACCCAUCGUAGCCAUGGUAAGCCGUUACCUUACCAUCAAGCUAAUGGGACGCAUGGCCAUCUUAUACCGCCCGAAGGCUUUAACC
rnacentral:rRNA from 1 species